GAGGCCCCAUCGUUAACCUGCCACCAAUUACAACUGGCCUCUGUCAGGGGCCCUGAUGUCACUGACUCUUCACAGACAGGGCCCACGCGUGCCCGUGGGAUUGCCUCCUCAUGUGAGGUGCUGUCAGGACAUCAGCUUGGCCUGGGGUCGUUCCCAUCAGCACCGAGCUCCCGCCCAGCAGUGCUGGAGCUUGAACGAGCUCCUGGGGUCAGUGAAAAAGGUUGAAACAAACAUUUUAAAAGCCUCCUAACUGUGUGGAGUAGGCCCAGAGAGGCAUCUGUCCUGACUUGGGAACUACGGGACUCAUGUCCUGUACAGAGACUCCGUCCUACUGAUGGGCACUGGGCCUCCAGAUGGAAGCGAUGUCUGCUCUGCAAGCCAGCCCUUGUCAAUAAGAUGCGGGACAUGUACACAUGCUCGCUCCCCUGACUCUUGUGCACAACGUGGAAGGAGAAUUCUGGAAGUGGAAUUGGUCUCUCAAAAGGUAAGCCUGUUUUCAAGUUUGAUGCACAGAAUAAGAUUUCCGACGAGGUGUCUGCCGUCUAUAGAACCACUACACGUUCUGAAGACGGGGGCCAGUAUCCCAUCCUUUCUGUGAUCAGAACUCAUUAUGAUUGUGGUUUGUACCACAAGAUGAGGGUCUGGGGGGGGGGUGGCAGGAAUAUUUUCUUCUUAGUUUGCAUUUUCUCUUAACUCCAGUGGGUCUGAGCAUCUUUUUAUAGACUUAUUUGC
rnacentral:lncRNA from 12 species